AAGAAAUAGCAAAUAGCCAUUGGAGGUUUUCAAUUCCAUUGUUCAAUAUGAUGAGGGAUCAAGUUAGACUCCUCUUGAUACAACUCCAUCCCACCUAGUAGUGAAAGAUAUCCUCUCUCCUAAUGUUAUUUUACAAAAAUUUGCAAUCAAGCAACACUUCUAAAGGGGGAAAAUCAACAAAGAAAUUUUCCACCACAAGACAAUAAACCUCAAUGAGAGCCCAA
rnacentral:lncRNA from 1 species